GACGAACGCUGGCGGCGUGCUUAACACAUGCAAGUCGUACGAUGAAGAAGAGAAACGCGAGCUUCGGUUCAAAUUUCACUUCGGAUUAGUGGCAGACGGGUGAGUAACUCGUGAGCAACCUACCUCUUACAAAGGGAUAGCCUCGGGAAACCGUGAUUAAUACCAUAUGACACAUUCAUAAGGCAUCUUAAGAAUGUUAAAGCUGCGGCGGUAAGAGAUGGGCUCGCGUCCCAUUAGCUAGUUGGGGAGGUAACGGCCCACCAAGGCGACGAUGUGUAACCGGGCUGAGAGGGUGAACGGUGACAUUGGAAAUGAGGCACGGUCAAAACUCCUACGGGAGGGAGCAGUGGGGAAUAUUGCACGAUGGAGGGAACUCUGAUGCAGCGACGCCGCGUGAGCGAUGAAGGAAUUCGUUUAGUAAAGCUCUGUUCUAUGGGAAGAAAAGGACUGUACCAUAGGAGAAAGCCCCGGCUAAAUACGUG
rnacentral:rRNA from 1 species